rnacentral:rRNA from 1 species
AACGAACGCUGGCGGCAUGCCUAACACAUGCAAGUCGAACGAGACCUUCGGGUCUAGUGGCGCACGGGUGCGUACCGCGUGGGAACCUGCCCUUAGGUUCGGAAUAACUCCCCGAAAGGGGUGCUAAUACCGGAUAAUGUCUUCGGACCAAAGAUUUAUCGCCUUUGGAUGGGCCCGCGUUGGAUUAGCUAGUUGGUAGGGUAAAAGCCUACCAAGGCGACGAUCCAUAGCUGGUCUGUGAGGAUGAUCAGCCACACUGGGACUGAGACACGGGCCAGACUCCUACGGGAGGCAGCAGUGGGGAGUAUUGGACAAGGGGCGAAAGCCUGAUCCAGCAAUGCCGCGUGAGUGAUGAAGGCCGUAGGGUUGCAAAGCUCUUUUAGCCGGGAUGAUAAUGACAGUACCGGGAGAAUAAGCUCCGGCUAACUCCGUG